UACGUAGGGUGCGAGCGUUGUCCGGAAUUAUUGGGCGUAAAGAGCUUGUAGGCGGUUUGUCGCGUCUGCCGUGAAAAUCCGGGGCUCAACCCCGGACUUGCGGUGGGUACGGGCAGACUAGAGUGUGGUAGGGGAGACUGGAAUUCCUGGUGUAGCGGUGAAAUGCGCAGAUAUCAGGAAGAACACCCGUGGCGAAAGCGGCUCUCUGGAACGGUACUGACGCUGAGACGCGAAAGCGUGGGGAGCGAACAGG
rnacentral:rRNA from 1 species